UGGGGAAUUUUGGACAAUGGGCGAAAGCCUGAUCCAGCAAUGCCGCGUGUGUGAAGAAGGCCUUCGGGUUGUAAAGCACUUUUGUCCGGAAAGAAAUCCUUGGCUCUAAUACAGUCGGGGGAUGACGGUACCGGAAGAAUAAGCACCGGCUAACUACGUGCCAGCAGCCGCGGUAAUACGUAGGGUGCAAGCGUUAAUCGGAAUUACUGGGCGUAAAGCGUGCGCAGGCGGUUUGCUAAGACCGAUGUGAAAUCCCCGGGGCUCAACCUGGGAACUGCAUUGGUGACUGGCAGGCUAGAGUAUGGCAGAGGGGGGUAGAAUUCCACGUGUAGCAGUGAAAUGCGUAGAGAUGUGGAGGAAUACCGAUGGCGAAGGCAGCCCCCUGGGGCCAAUACUGACGCUCAUGCACGAAAGCGUGGGGAGCAAACAGGAUUAGAUACCCUGGUAGUCCACGCCCUAAACGAUGUCAACUAGUUGUUGGGGGAUUCAUUUCCUUAGUAACGUAGCUAACGCGUGAAGUUGA
rnacentral:rRNA from 1 species